UACGUAGGGUGCGAGCGUUAUCCGGAAUCACUGGGCGUAAAGCGUCUGUAGGUGGUCAAAUAAGUCAACUGUUAAAUCUUGAGGCUCAACCUCAAAAUCGCAGUCGAAACUAUUAGACUAGAGUAUAGUAGGGGUAAAGGGAAUUUCCAGUGGAGCGGUGAAAUGCGUAGAUAUUGGAAAGAACACCGAUGGCGAAGGCACUUUACUGGGCUAUUACUAACACUCAGAGACGAAAGCUAGGGUAGCAAAUGGG
rnacentral:rRNA from 1 species